rnacentral:rRNA from 1 species
UACAGAGGUCUCAAGCGUUGUUCGGAUUCAUUGGGCGUAAAGGGUGCGUAGGUGGCGAGGUUAGUCAGGUGUGAAAUCUCGGGGCUCAACCCCGAAACUGCACUUGAUACUGCCUUGCUAGAGUACUGGAGAGGAGAUUGGAAUUUACGGUGUAGCAGUGAAAUGCGUAGAUAUCGUAAGGAAGACCAGUGGCGAAGGCGAAUCUCUGGACAGCAACUGACGCUGAGGCACGAAGGCCAGGGGAGCAAACGGG